rnacentral:rRNA from 1 species
AACGAACGCUGGCGGCAGGCUUAACACAUGCAAGUCGAGCGCAUCCUUCGGGGUGAGCGGCGGACGGGUGAGUAACGCGUGGGAACGUGCCCUCUUCUACGGAAUAGCCUCGGGAAACUGAGAGUAAUGCCGUAUACGCCCGCAAGGGGAAAGAUUUAUCGGAGGAGGAUCGGCCCGCGUUGGAUUAGGUAGUUGGUGGGGUAACGGCCUACCAAGCCGACGAUCCAUAGCUGGUUUGAGAGGAUGAUCAGCCACACUGGGACUGAGACACGGCCCAGACUCCUACGGGAGGCAGCAGUGGGGAAUCUUGGACAAGGGGGGCAACCCUGAACCAGCCAUGCCGCGUGAUCGAUGAAGGCCUUAGGGUUGUAAAGAUCUUUCAGCUGGGAAGAUAAUGACGGUACCAGCAGAAGAAGCCCCGGCUAACUCCGUG